CCUACGGGAGGCAGCAGUGAGGAAUAUUGGUCAAUGGGCGGAAGCCUGAACCAGCCAAGUAGCGUGCAGGAUGACGGCCCUACGGGUUGUAAACUGCUUUUAUACGGGAAUAACGCGCCUUACGUGUAGGUCUUUGCAUGUACCGUAUGAAUAAGGACCGGCUAAUUCCGUGCCAGCAGCCGCGGUAAUACGGAAGGUCCGGGCGUUAUCCGGAUUUAUUGGGUUUAAAGGGAGCGUAGGCCGCAUGUCAAGCGUGUUGUGAAAGUUUCGGGCUCAACCCGGGCCUUGCAGUGCGUACUGGCGGUCUUGAGUCCGCUGAAGGUAGGCGGAAUUCGUGGUGUAGCGGUGAAAUGCUUAGAUAUGACGAAGAACCCCGAUUGCGAAGGCAGCUUGCUGCAGUGGAACUGACGCUGAUGCUCGAAAGCGUGGGUAUCGAACAGGAUUAGAUACCCCUGUAGUC
rnacentral:rRNA from 1 species